rnacentral:lncRNA from 1 species
ACUGUGUUUGGCAUCGCAGUUCCGACGGCAGCCGCCGUUUCGCGACCCACGGCGGACUUGCAUAAACACUUUCUAGUUGGAAUCUCACCCUGUGAGGUGGGCAAGGUAGUGAUAUUCCUGUUUGACGCCGACAGAAAUAAGAGAGAUUGACUCUCAGAACCAUGUGGCGGGAUUUUAAAGGAGGAUCUUAACAGUGGCUCGGACAGACCCGUGUUUUCUGCUCCUAGCAUUAACUACGUCGUUAAACCCUUCUGAAUUUAUUUCGUCUGUGAAAUGGGGAAAAGAUAGCCACCUUGCAUAACUGGUGAAGAAUUCGUAAACUGACAGCAGAAUCUAGUAAGAGGACUGGCCCGUGGUCGGCUCUUAAUGGUGUCACAGAAUAAAGAAAAAGACUGGGAGAGAGAUGGGAGCUGAUAGACCAGAGGAGACCAAAGACUGAAACUGAAGACUAAACCAUGGAAAUUGGGAACAAGCACUUACUCGCUUAGAGGGUGAAAAAAGUGAAUUUGCCUACAGGGCCAAUUUGGAAGCACCUCUCCCUGGAAGCCAGUCAAUGAAGAGCCAUUGGAGGAUUUUAAAUAAGGAACCGAAAAAUGGAGUCUGAAAAUAGAGGCGCAGAGACCGGUCAACCACAAUGAAGAACAAGCCAUUUUGACCUCCAUCCUGGCUCAUCUCCUCUGUGUUCUCAUAGCAUCAUAUUAUAGAAUGGAUCACAAACGCC